ACUUGACCACAGCACGGUUGCCCUGAAGCAGCUGGAUGCCCACCAGGUCCGACAGCUGCACAUGAAGCACGUCCACCAGGGCGACACCAACCAACGAAUGGUCCACCGGCACCGUAAAUGCCAGACCAGGGGACAAAGUCCUCUUCACUGGAGGGCGAGAAGUCCCCAUGGCUAAGUCAAACGUCACCCUGUCAGUGGCAAACCACCACCAGCAGGGCAAACCAGCAAUCACCCAACGUAAACACGAGCCAGGAGCGGAGAGACCUCAGGAACGUCCGACCUGGCCGGUGGUCACCACGCAACUCAAAAGGCACAGCAGUUUCUUUUUUCUUCAUCGUAUACAGUAACCCGAUGCCCGAAACGCUUUGCGUAAUAGUGGCUUUAGGCAUUGUAUGUACUAGCUCUACCUAUAAGUCAACCAAUCUUUGUAAAAAUUUCUUGUAUGUAUGUACCUUACCUAAAUAAACAUUUAUUUAUUUAUUUUAUAACCUCCGAACUUAAGAGUUAUUGUUGUUGUUGAUGAUGUAGGGGCGACGAGGAUCGUGGGAUGGGAUGCCCGGCGUACCCGUGGAGGGCGAGGGUUGGUCUCUUCUAGGGGAACACCGUGGCCCUGGAGGAUGCCACGGUGCCUCCCCAGGUGUGGUCCACACGCACCAGCACCAGGUUGUACAGCUGGAUCGCCGUGUAAGAAAAGGAACAAGUAUUUAGAAGAGAAGAGGAAGAAUACAUCUAAGCCAUGAUGUAUCUGCAAAAGGUCAAAAUACUGAUCCUCCUCAGGAUGUAACCCUACAACAAGCUGACUAACUCCUGGAUACCUAUUUAGUGCCAAGUGAACAGGAACAUUAAGGAAUCGGAAAUGCACCUAACCAUUUCUGUCCCAACCUGGAUUUGAACCCAGAAUUCUCGAUUGCGAGAUGAAAAUAAAUCUGACUGUGCUACUGGGAUCCUUCAUUUGAUAAUACACAAUUUCGUAUUUGCACAGUAUUGAUAAAUAUGGAUUUGAAGAUGUCUCCACUUUGGACCAGUUUUUGUCUGUUUAUCAGUACAGUAUUGUGAAAUCAAAACUUUAUUUCUGAAAUUAAUAACUAAACCUGUACUACUGUUAAUACAGUAAUUGCUGUAUCAAAAUUUAAUAAUUUUUUGUCUAUAUCUGUUUAAUAUCUUUAAUUUAUAAUUGCUUACUAUGUACUGUUGCAGUUUUCAGUUUCCAAAUACAGUAUCAAGUAAUAACUGUCAAUCCUUUCUUAAUUCUCUCCAUCAACUCCUAAUUGUUAUAUUGUCUCAUUUGGUUUUACGAAUUAAUCCAUAAGUUUAUACUGUAUGUGGUUUUUGUAAUGCUCAAAACGCUUUGAAUAUUAGUGGCUUUAGGCAAUGUACUUGUGUUACUUAUGAAUCCUCUACUGUUCUUGUGGUGUCUUUGUACUCUUGCCUAAAUAAAUAUUAUUAUUAUUAUUAUUGAGAAAUGCCUUACAUUUCAGGAAUCAUUAAACAGUAAAAACAUGUAAAAUUUUAUUCAACAUGUCUUCAUUACAAAUAGAAUUUAAUACACUAUAAGAUAACCAUAUAAAUGCAUAUAAACAAUCUAUAACACUCAUACAGCUUUAUCUUAUCUGACCAGAAGCACACACCAACCUUAGCAACAACCACACAGCACACCAUCUGGUGUCCCAAGUUUCAAGCAUAAUCUGGUGAGAAGUCCUAAAAAGGAGAACAUCUGAAACUCUCAGAGAAGACAACUUUGGUGAGAAAAUGGGAAAUGCAAGCUGAUGCCAGGGAAGGCAACUCUAAAACAAAGUCAGGACAAACUCAUCAGCUAAGGAUAUGCAAAUUGGGAAGCAUGAACACAAUCAUGUUGCAUAAUGUAAUAAGAAAAAUUCUUAAGGAAUGUGCCAGUCCUUGCCGAGUAGAAGUGAUGUACUGUACGCGAGUUGGGAGACAGGCAGGCUGGACCUUUGACCUGCCAUCUGGAGUGUAGCCUGUCUCGGUAAACUACAGCACGCAUCCAGUGUUAACGCUCACACUCGCCCCACCAAAUGGCUACCAUGUACACCUUACAAAACCACAAGAUGUGACAGUGGGUGAAGGAUAACCAUCCGCCUGGCAGUUGAGCGUGACCGUGCUACCUUGUGCCGCUCCACUGUCCUGAGGUUCCGUCACCCAGUGUGGUGGGACUGUCAGACAAUGAGAAAAUACUCUCAGCAAAAUUGUGGAAGAUAUAAAUCAGGACGUUAUUGUUGGAACAAGGCGAGCCAACUUACUAUGGAGUAUGUCUGGGUAAUCAAAUGCUUAAUUUGAGGAAACUGUUGGAGAGAUUGUAGCACUGCUAAAAAACAGUGGAAGAAUUAAAACAUUCUGUGGAUAAUUAAACAUCAAUUAAAAUACUGUACUGUACUAUAAUAACAAACAGGAAAAAUCAGUAAACUGCACUCUACUGCAGGUGAACUGGUAAAACUAAUGUACUGUACUACAAGGGAAACUCAAACAAGUCACUGUAAUGGGAAAUAUAAAAGCAAAUAACCAUUAGGGAACAAUAAGAUAUUUUUCCCAGAAAAUAGCCACUUAUUUAUGGUGGAGAAUUGGUCAAUUGGUCCUACAGUGAAGCCAUGGGCCAUAAUGGUGAGGCCUACUCACAAAAAGGGAAACCAAGGUUGAAAAUCUUAACAGCUGACCCCAUUUGUUUGCAUACACAGGAACCACUCACAACAAACACUAUUUCCCUUUGAUUAGAAACCAAGUCUGUCCUGGAUCAAGCAGCCCUUAUAGUCCUGAAGCUAUCAGACCCUGUAAUAGCAACCUGUGUAAAGUGCUGCAUUACCCCUCCGGUUGUUGAAAUUGUAUAUAACAGAAGACCUUCCCCAUCAUGAGCUCCAUGGUAUAAGUAAGGGAGAUGAGAUGUGAAGUUAUCAACAAAUACCAAAUGUCAAUUGCCUUUUUGUUCCAUGAAUGUUCAAUCUACUGAUAAACAGUGA